AUUUAAAUAGUUUAGUAAAAUUUCAACUUGUGGUGUUGAAGAUGUGGAAAUUUUCCACUUUAAAUA
rnacentral:tRNA from 1 species